rnacentral:rRNA from 1 species
UAUCUCUGUAGAGUCUGCAUAUCAAUAAGCGGAGGAAAAGAAACUAACUAGGAUUCCCUUAGUAACGGCGAGUGAAGCGGGAAGAGCUCAAAUUUGAAAUCUUCAAGGUUUUACCUUGACGAAUUGUAGUUUAAAGAAGUGUUUUCUUUUGGAGUUUUGGUAAAAGUUCUUUGGAAUAGGACAUCAUAGAGGGUGAGAAUCCCGUAUUUGACCAUUAUUUCCAACUUUGUGAUACACUUUCAAAGAGUCGGAUUGUUUGGGAAUGCAGUCCAAAAUGGGUGGUAAAUUUCAUCUAAAGCUAAAUAUUGGCGAGAGACCGAUAGCGAACAAGUACCGUGAGGGAAAGAUGAAAAGAACUUUGAAAAGAGAGUUAAACAGUACGUGAAAUUGUCAAAAGGGAAGCGUUUGACACCAGUGUUGUUUUCUCGAAAAUCAAUUAAAAAUGGCCGGAUUUUGUGUUGUAUUGACUUUAUCAGCUUUCUGCACUUUUUUCUUGUCUUUUUUAAUGCACUUUUCGUUUAACAAGUCAACAUCAAUUUCUUUUGUUGUAAAAGAGUCAUUCGGAAGGUGGCCUUCUUUUCGGAGAAAGUGUUUAUAGCCCUAUACUUCUACAAUCGGAGAGAUUGAGGUCUGCAGCGUAGAUCCUUCGGGGUUAGAUACAUUUGUGCUAAGUUGUAGCUUUUCAUAGACAACUUGUUGACUAUGUUUAGUCAUGCGGCUUACUCGCUUAUGCUAUUUUACCUACGCUUAGGAUGUUGACUGAUAUGUAGUCGUA